UGGUGCCGAAGUUAACACAUUAAGCAUUCCGCCUUGGGGAGUACGGUCGCAAGACUGAAACUCAAAGGAAUUGACGGGGACCCGCACAAGCAGUGGAGUAUGUGGUUUAAUUCGAAGCAACGCGAAGAACCUUACCAGGUCUUGACAUCCCUCUGAAUCCACUAGAGAUAGUGGCGGCCUUCGGGACAGAGGAGACAGGUGGUGCAUGGUUGUCGUCAGCUCGUGUCGUGAGAUGUUGGGUUAAGUCCCGCAACGAGCGCAACCCUUGAUCUUAGUUGCCAGCACUUUGGGUGGGCACUCUAGGAUGACUGCCGGUGACAAACCGGAGGAAGGUGGGGAUGACGUCAAAUCAUCAUGCCCCUUAUGACCUGGGCUACACACGUACUACAAUGGCCGAUACAACGGGAAGCGAAACCGCGAGGUGGAGCCAAUCCUAUCAAAGUCGGUCUCAGUUCGGAUUGCAGGCUGCAACUCGCCUGCAUGAAGUCGGAAUUGCUAGUAAUCGCGGAUCAGCAUGCCGCGGUGAA
rnacentral:rRNA from 1 species